AUUAUACAAAGAACUUAUAAUUAGAUUGUUGUCGUUGUGUGAAAUUUAAAUUUUUCCUGCGACAUUUUGAUUGGAUACUAAAUAUAAACUUUGCUGUGGGUGGAAAGCGAUCGGAUUAAGGAUUGUGUCAGGCUAUUAUUUGUAAAAUACAGGGUGUAUAAAAAAAAGGAGACCUUUAGAAAUCAAGCAUAUUGUUAAAAUAUGAAUGCCUUUUCAAUUGCACAUAUGCUGAACCGUAGUGCGUGAAAUAUUGAUGGGGUGCAUAUAUUAGAAAAGGAGACUUUAAUGAUGAGUAAAAUGGUCUGGUAUUAGACAGAGUACAAUAAUCUGGCAUUUCAAAGACAGUAAAAUAAGGAAGUAGGACACACAAGGGUACAAUACAAUUUACAGUAACGGGUUCACUAGACACAUGGCCAUAUUAACCCAGGAAUACUUCUCAAGAAGUUUGGCAGGUCGUUAAGAUGGGGUGACUAGGCCGGACAUGGCAUAAGCUGCAUUAUGCCACAACUUUAUUGUUUUACUCUGUUGUUCCAGAAAAGAUCCACUCUCCCCUGGGCACAGAGGAAAUUUCUACCGUCCGAAGGGUAGGGGAGAAAAAAUUUUCUGAUAAUAGUAAGUGUAUUAGGACAUUCGAAUUUCGAAGGGGAUAGGGGGUUAACUUGCAAAUUUCCUUCAUGGGGGAGGUAUCGAUGUUCUCUGGAAUGACCCAAUGUCAGAUGAUUUUACUUGUCAGUGAUAUCACUCAUGGUUUACUGAAACAAGUAGGCCACUCCUCUCCAAUAUAACUAAG